UAGGGAAUAUUGGGCAAUGGGCGAAAGCCUGACCCAGCAACGCCGCGUGUGUGAUGAAGGCCUUCGGGUCGUAAAGCACUUUUCUGGGAGAUGAGAAAGGACAGUAUCCCAGGAAUAAGUCUCGGCUAACUACGUGCCAGCAGCCGCGGUAAAACGUAGGAGGCGAGCGUUAUCCGGAUUCACUGGGCGUAAAGCGCGUGCAGGUGGCGCGGUAAGUUGGGCGUGAAAUCUCCCGGCUCAACUGGGAGAGGUCGUCCAAUACUACCGUGCUUGAGAGCAGAAGAGGAAGAUGGAAUUCCCGGUGUAGUGGUGAAAUGCGUAGAUAUCGGGAGGAACACCAGUGGCGAAGGCGAUCUUCUGGUCUGUUUCUGACACUCAGACGCGACAGCUAGGGUAGUAAACGGGAUUAGAGACCCCGGUAAUCCUAGCCGUAAACGAUGUGAACUUGGCGUUGGUGGGUUAAACUCCAUCAGUGCCGUAGCAAACGCGAUAAGUUCACCGCU
rnacentral:rRNA from 1 species